rnacentral:rRNA from 1 species
AACGCGAAGAACCUUACCAGGGCUUGACAUGCACUGGAAAACCGUAGAAAUACGGUCCCCCUUCGGGGCUAGUGCACAGGUGGUGCAUGGCUGUCGUCAGCUCGUGUCGUGAGAUGUUGGGUUGAGUCCCGCAACGAGCGCAACCCCUGUUCCAUGUUGCCAGCGAUUCGGUCGGGGACUCAUGGAAGACUGCCGGUGACAAAUCGGAGGAAGGUGGGGUCGAAGUCAAGUCAUCAUGCCCCUUAUGUCCUGGGCUACACACGUGCUACAUUGGCCGAUACAGAGGGCUGCGAUGCCGCGAGGCGGAGCGAAUCCCAAAAAGUCGGUCUCGGUUCGGAUUGGAGGCUGAAACUCGCCUCCAUGAAGGCGGAGUUGCUAGUAAUCGCGGAUCAGCAAUGCCGCGGUGAAUAUGUUCCCGGGUCUUGUACACACCG